CUUCCCGUUUAUUUGCUGGUAUAGUCUCACAAUGAUAUGACCAGUUAUACUCAUGGGAAAAAAUAACAUUGGGCCAUUGUAAAUUGACAUCAAGUAACUAUUUUCAUCUGGACUGUAUAUAU
rnacentral:snoRNA from 1 species